rnacentral:rRNA from 1 species
UACAGAGGUCCCAAGCGUUGUUCGGAUUCACUGGGCGUAAAGGGUGCGUAGGCGGUCGGGUAAGUCUGAUGUGAAAUCUCACAGCUUAACUGUGAAACUGCAUUGGAUACUAUUCGGCUUGAGAGUUGGAGGGGGGACUGGAAUUCUUGGUGUAGCAGUGAAAUGCGUAGAGAUGUGGAGGAACACCAGUGGCGAAGGCGACUCUUUGGCCUGUAACUGACGCUGAGGCGCGAAAGCGUGGGGAGCAAACAGG